GAUGAACGCUGGCGGCGUGCUUAACACAUGCAAGUCGAACGAUGAAGCCCAGCUUGCUGGGUGGAUUAGUGGCGAACGGGUGAGUAACACGUGAGUAACCUGCCCCCGACUCUGGGAUAAGCCCGGGAAACUGGGUCUAAUACCGGAUAUGACCUCGCGCCGCAUGGUGCGGGGUGGAAAGAUUUAUCGGUGGGGGAUGGACUCGCGGCCUAUCAGCUUGUUGGUGAGGUAAUGGCUCACCAAGGCGACGACGGGUAGCCGGCCUGAGAGGGUGACCGGCCACACUGGGACGGAGACACGGCCCAGACUCCUACGGGAGGCAGCAGUGGGGAAUAUUGCACAAUGGGCGCAAGCCUGAUGCAGCAACGCCGCGUGAGGGAUGACGGCCUUCGGGUUGUAAACCUCUUUCAGCAGGGAAGAAGCGAAAGUGACGGUACCUGCAGAAGAAGCACCGGCUAACUACGUGCCAGCCGCCGCGGUAA
rnacentral:rRNA from 1 species